rnacentral:SRP_RNA from 2 species
GCCGGGCAUGGUGGCGCAUGCCUGUAAUCCCAGCUACUCGGGAGGUUGAGGCAGGAGAAUUGCUUGAACCCGGGAGGCGGAGCUUGCAGUGAGCCGAGAUUGCGCCACUGCACUCCAGCCUGGGCGACAGAGUGAGAUUCUGUCUCAG